GACCGUGUUUCAUCAGUGAUCCCUCAGUCACAGGCCUCCCGCAGCUCUCCCUCCGCUCAGCACGCGAGCUUGAUCACGUCUCUCCCAUCUUCAAACCGACCAACCAGCCAAUCCCAAACAGAAUUCUCACUGCCUCUACCUAUUUGCUAGCCCUCUCCUCCUUAAAUAGUCUUUUUAAAAGGGCAGUUGAGGAGUUCUUGCUGUGGCACAAUGGGAUUGGCAGCACCAGGAUGCCUCUGCAGCACCAGGAUGCAGGUUCGACCCCAGCCUGGCACAGUGGGUUAAAGGAUCCAGCAUUGCCUCAGCUGAAGCAUAGGUCACAGCUGUGGCCCAGAUCGAAUGCCUAGCCUGGGAACUCCAUACGCUGAAUAUAUUAUAUAUAUUUAGUUAAAAAAGCAGUUGACAGUCACUCUCCCCAGCCCUGUACUGCAUCUGCACCCUCAUCCUACAGCAAUUUCUGCCCCCCUGACUCUACUGACCCCCUUGGUUGUUUAGUCCUUAUCCCGUUGACCUCUCAGCAGCAUUGGACAUGAGUCCUUUCUGAAACGCCUUCCCUCUUGUUAUCUAUAGCAUCAAGCUGCUCUGUUCUCGCGCUGCCAGAGGGCUCCUGGCCCUGUGUGGACUCGUUUUCCCAACCGAGUAUCCUUUAUCCUUCCACCGCAGAGGGCUCUUGUGGGGAAUAAACCGGUAUGCUGAGGGCCUAGCACAGCGCCGGGCACACAGCAAAUGCUCGAAAUAGGACAGAAGAAUAAUUACAGGGAGUUCCCUUCGUGACUCAGCCGUUAAGGAGACCGACUAGGUUCGAUGAGGAUGCGGGUUCAAUCCCUGGCCUCACUCAGUGGGUUAAGGAUCUGGCGUUGCCAUGAGCUGUGGUGUAGGUCGCAGACACGCCUCAGAUCCUGGCUGUGGCUGGCAGCUAAGCUAUAGCUCCGAUUUGACCCCUAGCCGGGAAAUUUCCAUAUGCCACGAGUGUGGCCCCAUAGAGCAACAACAACGAAAGGACUCAUUAUAGUUACUAUCCUGUGUCAUUUCCAGUCUUCCUAGAGUGGCACGCCGGGACAAGCUUGGUCUUCCCCUAUAGACAUUGAGCUUUACCUCUCCUCCAUCUCCCCUGACCCCCCUACCACCUCAAACCUGCUGAGUUUUCCUCACUUCCAUGCCAUGCUGUUUUCUCUCCAUGGACGGUCUUUUUUUUUUUUUUUUUUUUUUUUUUUGGGCCACACUCAUGGCAUAUGGAAGUUUCUAGGCCAGGGACUGAACUCAUGCCUUAGCAGCCACCUGAGCUGCUGCAGAGACAGUGCCUGAUCCNUGACGUAUAUGCCCUUCCUGCCCUGCCAGGAGCACUUCGUCUCCCGUCUCCACGUCCGGCAUCCAGCACAGUAUCUGGUGCGCAGUAGAUGUUCAGUAAACAUCUCUUCAGUCAGGGGCAGUCUUCUGGGUUAGAAUGUUGGGAAAAAAACUACCUCCAAAGUUUUUCUCAUUACCACUUAAAUUAUCUUUGAGAAAGAAAGAAAAUAUACAAUACACAUAGAUUCUUAUUUAGAUGUAAAUACAAUAUAAAACUCAUGUAUGUCUAUUUAGAUUUAAAAAUCGGAAUCAAAGAAACAUGCCUAAUCUUCAAUCUUAUACUUCAAGGCUAGGAACUUAUUUUUAAGGGAAGUGUUAUAUAUCACACUAUGCUUAGAACCAGUUCUACCCAGGAGUUCCCGUCGUGGCUCAGUGGUAAGCGAAUCUGACUAGCAUCUAUGAGGGCACAAGUUCGAUCCCUGGCCUCGCUCAGUGGGUUAAGGAUCAGGCGUUGCGGUGAGCUGUGGUAUAGGUCACAGACAUGGCUCCAAUCUGGUGUUGCUUUGGCUGUGGGGUAAGCCGGCAGCUACAGCUCUGAUUGGACCCCUAGCUUAGGAACUUCCAUAUGCCAUGGGUGUAGCCUUAAAAAGCAAAAAAAAAAAAAAAAAAAAAAAAAACCAAAAAAAACCCAAAACCAGUUCUAUCCAAUCUAAAGCCAGUGGUUACUUACUGCUUAGCUGUUUCCCAACUGAGCAGGUCCUGCAGCCCUCAGAGGGCAGGCAGUCAUUGUCACAUCAGAUGCUUAGUGAUGUCGCUUUUGCAGGCUCCCCAACACUGUUGGCACUGACCCCUCUGUCCCCUCUCAGCCCUGACUCACAGGAUGGAGGGACCAACAUGCGUCCCACAUGAGAGACUCUAACGAGUGUAGGGAUGGCCUAAAAGUGUGGAAAGCUGUCCCCUUCCAUCUUUGAGUUCCCAAUAGGCUGGCACUGCUGAUGACCCGCAAAUGAUUGUUGCCUCACAUUCUACCUCGACCAUGUCCAGGAGCAGGCUUCUGGGAGUCAUGGUUCAGUGGGGAGUUGUAUGUGAUAAACCAUUUCUCUUGCUGCUUUCAAGGCCCCUUCUUGCCUCUGUCUUUAAUAGUUUGUCUAGGAUGUGUCUACAUGGGGACCUCUUUGAGUUUAUGUUACUUAGAGUUUUUUGAGAUGUACAGAGUUGAUGCAGGUGUUGCUCAAACGUGAGACGUUUUUGUCUGUUUCUUCAACUCUUUCUUCCUCUUUCUCUCUCCUUCAGGUGUACAGUGCAUUGAUUCAGUUAUAUAUGCAUAUAUAGCUAUUCUUUUCAGAUUCUUUUCCCUUAUAAGAAGUUAUUAUAGGAGUUCCCAUCUUGGCAUAACCAUGAGGUUGCAGGUUCGAUCCCUGGCCUUGCUCAGUGGGUUAAGGAUCUGGAGCUGCUAUGAGCUGUGGUGAAGUUCACAGAUGUGGCUCGGAUCUGGCGUGGCUGUGGCUGUGGCUGUGGGCCAGCAGCAACAGCUCUGAUUAGCGCCCCUAGCCUGGGAGCCUCCAUGUGCCGCAGGUGUGGCCCUAAAAAGCAAAAAAAAAAAAAAAAAAA
rnacentral:lncRNA from 1 species